rnacentral:rRNA from 1 species
AACGAACGCUGGCGGCGUGCCUAACACAUGCAAGUCGUGCGAGAAAGUUCCUUCGGGAGCGAGUAAAGCGGCGCACGGGUGAGUAACACGUAGGUAACCUGCCCCCCAGUCUGGAACAACUAGAGGAAACUCUAGCUAAUGCCGGAUGAGACCACGAUCCCUUCGGGGGUUGCGGCCAAAGAUGGCCUCUACUUGUAAGCUAUCGCUGAGGGAUGGGCCUGCGGGCCAUUAGCUUGUUGGUGAGGUAACGGCUCACCAAGGCUGUGAUGGCUAGCUGGUCUGAGAGGAUGACCAGCCACACUGGGACUGAGACACGGCCCAGACUCCUACGGAGCAGCAGUGGGGAAUAUUGCGCAAUGGGACGAAAGCCUGACGCAGCGACGCCGCGU